rnacentral:rRNA from 1 species
AACGAACGCUGGCGGCAUGCCUAACACAUGCAAGUCGAACGAGACCUUCGGGUCUAGUGGCGCACGGGUGCGUAACGCGUGGGAACCUGCCCUUAGGUUCGGAAUAACUCAGAGAAAUUUGAGCUAAUACCGGAUAAUGUCUUCGGACCAAAGAUUUAUCGCCUUUGGAUGGGCCCGCGUAGGAUUAGCUUGUUGGUGGGGUAAUGGCCUACCAAGGCGACGAUCCUUAGCUGGUCUGAGAGGAUGAUCAGCCACACUGGGACUGAGGCACGGCCCAGACUCCUACGGGAGGCAGCAGUGGGGAAUAUUGGACAAUGGGCGAAAGCCUGAUCCAGCAAUGCCGCGUGAGUGAUGAAGGCCUUAGGGUUGUAAAGCUCUUUUACCAGGGAUGAUAAUGACAGUACCUGGAGAAUAAGCUCCGGCUAACUCCGUG